rnacentral:tRNA from 1 species
GCGCCUGUAGCUCAGCUGGAUACCUCCAAAAACUCGUUUUGGACGGGUUUUGGCUAAGCCAAAAAGAGCGAAAGGUUCCUAACCUUUAGGCCCGGGGUUCAAAUCCUCGCAGGCGCG